UACGGGGGGAGCAAGCGUUGUUCGGAUUUACUGGGCGUAAAGGGCGCGUAGGCGGCCUUCUAAGUCGAACGUGAAAUCCCCGGGCUCAACCCGGGAACUGCGUCCGAUACUGGGGGGCUUGAAUCCGGGAGAGGGAUGUGGAAUUCCAGGUGUAGCGGUGAAAUGCGUAGAUAUCUGGAGGAACACCGGUGGCGAAGGCGGCAUCCUGGACCGGUAUUGACGCUGAGGCGCGAAAGCUAGGGGAGCAAACGGG
rnacentral:rRNA from 1 species